UGCAGUCGAGCGGUAACAGAUCCAGCUUGCUGGAUGCUAGACGAGCGGCGGACGGGUGAGUAAUGCAUAGGAAUCUGCCCGAUAGUGGGGGAUAACCUGGGGAAACCCAGGCUAAUACCGCAUACGUCCUACGGGAGAAAGGGGGCUUCGGCUCCCGCUAUCGGAUGAGCCUAUGUCGGAUUAGCUAGUUGGUGAGGUAACGGCUCACCAAGGCCACGAUCCGUAGCUGGUCUGAGAGGAUGAUCAGCCACAUCGGGACUGAGACACGGCCCGAACUCCUACGGGAGGCAGCAGUGGGGAAUAUUGGACAAUGGGGGCAACCCUGAUCCAGCCAUGCCGCGUGUGUGAAGAAGGCCCUCGGGUUGUAAAGCACUUUCAGCGAGGAAAAACGCCUAGCGGUUAAUACCCGCUAGGAAAGACAUCACUCGCAAAAGAAGCACCGGCUAACUCCGUGCCAGCGGCCGCGGUAAUACGGAGGGUGCAAGCGUUAAUCGGAAUUACUGGGCGUAAGCGCGCGUAGGUGGCUUGAUAAGCCGGUU
rnacentral:rRNA from 1 species